rnacentral:tRNA from 1 species
GCCGGGGUGGUGUAAUUGGUAGCCACGCGACACUUAAGAUGUCGUGAGCGAAAGCUCGUGAGGGUUCGACCCCCUCCCCCGGCA